GGCCUGCUGGCGUAAUUGGUAGCGCGUUCGACUCCAGCGNAGGAAUCGAAAGGUUAUCCGUUCAAGUCGGGUGCGGGUCA
rnacentral:tRNA from 1 species